CGGGACCAUCAGACAUGUCCAGUGCUGUGACGACCUGCAGCAGCGAAUUAACAAGGAGCGUAACACAAAUACCAGGAGGAUAAAAUGGCCUCAGGGGAAAGAAGAGGUGACAUGAGAAUCAGAGGAAGACGAAUCGUGCUCCUGAUGCAGCUCGGAGGUGGCCAGCACUCUGUCGCUCUCUCUUUCUGACUGUCAGCAGAGCUCAAAGCUACCGCUCUCUCUCCGUUGUCAUGUCCUGACCUCGUGAAUAUUUCUCUCUUCCACUGCGAACGCCUCCUCUGACCAGCUUCAUGCGAAUACCUCGAGACCACGGCCGAGGAAGUUUCAAAGAAAUACUGGUCCUGCCGUCCAGAUUUGACUUAAUGCCAGUUUAUCACCCCCCCGCCUGACACUUCCCUGGUGGUCAGUGCCUCCCAAUGACCCAGUUACAUCACACUGUCUUCUGGCCAGAAAGUGCACGAGUUGUGUACCUUGCAGGAGCAUCGAAGUCUCCCCACACAUCUGAACCCGGGUUUGACUGAACCACUGUGUUGCAGUUGCUGCUGUCCAGCUCCAGCAGGCAGCCUGACAGAGAGGAGGAGAUCAGAGCUUCUAACAGGCGGAUCACACACUGACACACAUUCUCCUCAUGUCAUGCAGCCUGAAGCUCAAAGACACACAAGCCUUCAGUCGACCAUGUGACUCAGAGCAGGUCACUCCUGCAGGUUAAAGCUGCAGGUUCAAUUUUAUUUACUCGAUUUGUUCACAUGAGAUUCUCUCGUUGGCUAUGAUCUCUGUAAUGAAGCUUGAACGUACAGUAGUUUCAUGGAAGUGCCGGCUACCUGUUGCUGUGUCUCCUGUCUGAGGGACGAUGUUGUGAUUGGAUGGGCCUGACGAAGGAGGAGGGGCUAUCUUGCCUCCAGGUGGUGGUGGGAGGAGUCCAAACCCACCUGAGCUCAGUGGGCGGGGCUUAUCCCUUUUUCUACCUUGCUGGUGACGGAGAAAAGAAAGAAAUAGAAGCUACGUUAACAACGCAGGGAACUGGGACCGGCUCAAUUCCUUGAGCUUCUUCUCAGGUUUAAAUGCUUAAAGAUAUUUUUAAAGGGCAAAUGAAAGUCAUGCAUAAUUUAUGAUUUGUUUAAACUUUAAAACUGCUAAAUAAAAUGAUUCUGAAUACAUUUUGAGAAAUAAGGAAAAGUUUGGACGUCGUUUGUCUCUCACCCCUAUGUUGAGUGUGAUGGUCUGUCCCUCCUUAA